GCACCAUCUUCCCCCUGUUAUAAAUACACCACUGCGGUACCGGUGUGCAGCAUUCGAUUAGGAAUGGCUCCGAUCUAAUUUCAAGCUUCUUUAAUUUAUAAUCUCGCGUUCGAGAUGAAACUCGAUCUUUUUUUGCAGGUUACUUUUUCGGGAUUAAAAGAUGUCUUAAAGUAAGAAUAAGCUUUUGAAAGAAGCGUAUGAGCAAUUGCUGCCUAUUAUAAAGUUGAAGAAUUGGUAAUUAAAAUUGUUUAACAUUGGAAGCACCAACGAUUAGGACCUAAAGUUUAUGUAAAAGGAGUGAAAAUGAAAGAAAGAAAUUAAUGGAAUUCAUCAUAUUGUAUCAUAUUAAGCUCAUACCUACAAUAAGGAUUCCAGAGUUAAGGAAUGCUACAAAUGCGUGAAUGUUAUUUUGAGGUUAUCGAUCUUCGCAACUAGAAGAUUCUUUCGUAAAGAUUUCGAAAGCGUGAUCUCGCCUGGAUAACUGUUUUGUGCAAGACAUUUGCACAUGCGCGACCAGCUUGAUUCCGUUCCUACUUUCCACCGGCCUCGAAUCUGGUAUAUCCUCACUUCCUUUAUCCCCACUGCAUCUAGCUAAGCGCGUGUGCGGUCGACACGUCAAUUAUAUCUGAAUCGAAGGCGACGUCUCAUCGUGAUUACGCCGCAAAAUAAAGACAACCUGACUUUUCUUUAAUGGGUUCGGGGGUUCAUAGUUGUUUGCAUCAUUUUUCGCUAUCAUAAUCGUACAGUGAUCGUUAGUUCUAAAGGAAUUGAGCAUUAUCUGCAGCCAGUGACAAGCAUCGAGCUGACUUAUUCAUGUAAUCAGAAAGCAACAAAGUAGUGAUGUAAUUUCGCGGCAUUCCGCAUAAGUCGUUCACAAUACACCGUUUUAUCAUUAGCCGUUGGGAACAGAAGCGUAGGACUCCGCGAUUUAUGAAUGAUUCGGAGGAGUGAAUGAACGGGGUCGACGCAUGCGCACCAUCGGCCAGAUUCCAUUCCCAUUCCGAUCUCGCCUCUAUUCUCUGCUUUAUCCUUUUGCCGCGCUCUGCGUAGGUACCGUGAACGCACAACAGCUGUAGAAUUUAUAAAAAGGUCUGCUCGACCGACCGAUGAAACCCUUAUCAAGGUCUUUCCACCAUUAUAGAGGUGUUAGUGGAAGGAAGGAAGAACGCGUGUUUCUUUCACCGUUACGGAAAUAUUUACACAACCAUGUGCAAACCAACUUACGCCAGGAUAAAUUAGACUGCUGUCGGCUUUGUCAUUUCACCAACCGACAAGUGAGAUUUUCCUUGGCACUGAUAAUGCCGUGAUACUGUUACUUUUCCCACAUAGCUUUUACCUGACUGUCCUAAAUAAUCAACUUUUUUUCGUUAAAUCUAUAGACAUAGAUACUGUUGAAUUAACAGAGGCCUCAUUUUUUCAUUCUUUUGGCAAUAAAUAGUAGGGCUCUCUUGCACAAUAAUUUUAAAAAUUUAUUGUUAUACAAAGAACUUAUUAUUUAUGACUUGUAAAAUAUUAAUAUUAACAUAAUUGUACAAGAAAGACCAGAAAAAUAAAACAAUGAAUAAUGAAUCUUUAUUUAAUAACAAAAAGGACAGGUACUUUUCUAUCUUUUUUUUAAAUUCGCUUUAUAAAAUUAUUGAAGUAUUUCUAGUUGGAAAAAAGAAGAACUGCAUCUUUAUAUAGAUUGUUUAGAUACGAUCGCUUUUCAAGAUUUCACUUUCAGAAGAUCACUAUCUUUUGAACACGGUCACUAUACAAUCCUCUAGAAACGACCACACCAUUGAGCACAAUUUAGUAUUCAACGACGUAUUACCUUAAAUCAAACAAUUGUACUCAUUUUCCUGGAAGGAACAACUUCAACUAAUUUUCCAUCACGAUUAAAUCGACAUCUGAAGAUCUAGAUUUGGAAUUUUCGAAUUUACAAAAUCAAACUACAUCCCAUAAAGUAUUCUUUUAUCAGUAUAAAAAUAUUUUUCUGUAUUAUGAUCAUAGAUAUAACAAUUUUUAUGUACUAAACUUUCUACAUUGAAAGUAAGAGUAACGUGAAUUAACAAUCAUUGAUUUCCAUAGGUAAUGAGCAUCGAUACCUCGAAGAAAGAGCAUUUGUGAUGCAUAUGACAGUCAUAAUAACAGGUUACAACUUGUCUGUACAAGCCGUGAACGAAGGCCUCCCAUUUAAAAUUCGCAGCUGAUAGUCAAAAGGUGACAAAGCUACUGAAUAUUGAACGAACAAGAACUUCGUGAAGAAUUGUUCAACGUAGUUUACUAACACAACGAUUUAUGAUCUGAUAUAUUUAUGGAGAUGAUUUUCUCUCGUACAACGUUCACGGUGAAAAACAUGCAAUUUUCUUCUGCCUUUGCAACUUUCGAUCGUAACUCCUCGAUAUUCCAACAACCAAGCGAUUUAAUCUGAAUACAGGUUGUUCCAAAGUACGUGGAAAAAAUAGAAAGUAGUCGUAGUAGGAGCUUUAGAGAAAAUCGAUGCUUGGGUCUACCUGAGUCUUCGACUAAAUAUAUAUUCACGGAUCUUCCUAAGGAGAUCUUUGUCAGAUUUAUGUGCAAUAAGACCAAUUUAGACAUGACAAAAGUCGCGAAAUUUUCCCAAAAAAUUUGGAUAAACGGCGGCGUUAAUUAAGCUAAUACGAAACGUGAUAUGCAACAAUUACAAUUUAAUGGGACCAGGUCACGGUGAAGAGCGCACCGCAACAUAACUGUUUAUUAAGUAUCUCGUCGCCCACGUUAAUUGAGAAGUUACUGUCGAAUUGAUAGCUCCGACGUAAAGUAACCUUAAUCGCAGCCGAAGCAUUUUAAUUAGACCUGCUCUCACGAUAAUUAAAUGAAAAAUGUUUGGGAACAUUGCAUGCUACAGCAUAUUAACGCACGUGAUUUUUACUUUUAUGAUACGCGGAAAUCAAUUACAUACUUUUUUGUCAAUCAAUUUCAUUUAGAAAGGAAGGCAAUACUGAAUAGUUUAUACUGCAAUGGUUUUGUGUUCAAGACAAACAUCGUAGCAGCAUUUUUCCCAUUUGUCGCAAUCCUCGUCGCCGUGGCAAGAAGUUGGUGGCAGUGAGUACCAAUCAUAAGUUCGUGGACAAUGGGUUCUCAACGGCGGGCAAUGUUCCCCUGUUUCUUC